GGCACUGUGCUAGACUCAGGCAAUACAAGGAUGGACAAGAAAGAAAGCAUCCCUGCCUUCAUGAAACUCACAGUCUGAAGUCAAUAAACAAGAAUUUCAGGAAGAAGCAUGCAAUUUUUGGUAAUUCAAUGAAAUAUAAAGAUGAAUCAGAAGUCCGGUAUAGAAUGCAUCAUCCAUUGGUUCUGGAUUUAACAUACAAAAUCCGUAAAAGAACUGAAAUGUUCUGAAGCUUGAAUCUCUCUCAUGCAGUUAUUCUGUUGGAUGAAGUGGCAUUUCAAAUUUGCUCACUCAGAUUUGGGACAUUAGUCUCAUUCUGAAGCACACCAAUGCUUCCAGAACUACCAGCAUGCUGUAAUGAAAGGUACCGCCAUGAGACUUGAAGAAGUAUCUGACUUUGUCCCAAAAUCUAUCUGAAUAAGAAAAACGGACAAACAAAAAGAUAAGGAGAAGAAAGAGGAAACAAAAGCUAAAAGGUUCACCUUAACUUUCCCAGCAUUUUCGUCAUCUUCUUUUUUGUCUUCAAAUUCAAAGGCAACAGUCAUGCGUUGUUGUCUCUGCUCUUCCCACAGUGUAGGGUUAAAGCUGUCACUGUCUGACUGGAAAUCUACAGUUAGAUUCCAAAGUAUUAUUGUUUUUUUAAAAAACAAUUUUACACAAAGUAUUUAAUAUAGUAUGCAAAAAUGGUGAUAGAUACUACAAACAAAUACGGAAAUAAAGAAGAAAGAAAGAAAAAAAGAAAGAGAAAGAAGGAAAGAGAAAAGAAUAAAAUUCCCUUGAUAUUUAUUGGCUAGUAACACAGUCAGAAGAGGAAGCAAGGUUGGUUUGACAUGACUUGCUCUUGAUGCAUAAAGCUUUGGUGCUUCCUUGUCACCUGAUACUAUAAAUAACAUUCCAAACUUUUUAAUAAAAUGUUUUAUUCCCUUAUGUGGGAAUAUUAUUAACUAGUAA
rnacentral:lncRNA from 1 species